GUAAGAUAUGUUUUGGGCCCUCGCCUUAGAACACCAGGUUUAAAAUAAGGAAGAGGAAGACCUUGAUUUGGUUUCCAAGGUUGAAAAUGGUAUUGUAUUUUUUUUAAUAGUCUGAUUUUUAUUUAAACCAUUACUCAGUGAAACCUCAAGGUCCAAGAGUUUAUAUAUGUCCCCACAGCCUUGUAGCUUUAGUCGAAAGGAGGUCACAUGCUAUGCAGGGUGUCUUCCAGCCUAUUUUUUCACAAGACAGAUCUGGGGUACAGCAGCAUCUGAACAUUUACGUGUCAAGUGUGUAAAUGCUUUGGAAGCCUCAAAGGAAAAGUUCCUGACGCACCUGGCAAGCCUGGAACCUGAUCUCUCCUUCCUCACUGCUCACACCGCCCUGACACGGCGCACAGGGGGAGGCUGAGAAAGGAAGAAAACAAAAACCCACUGCUUGAGAAUUUAGAGUACAGAGUAUGCACAUUCAAGUAACGAUCAACAGAGCUGGCACAUAGUUCCAGGAGCCAACCUUGGGCUUUCUCAAAGGACCUAAGUAUACAAACUGGCGUUUACCGCAUAGCAUUUGGUGAGAAGCAUUUAACCAUAUCAACCCAAAUUUUUGUGCUUAGAAGUUACUCAAGAAUGAUAUUUGACUUUUCUUCAAACCCAUUCAACCUGAAAGAUUUCCAAGCAUGUCACACAUCACAUUUAGCUACUUUUGCUGUGAAGGGCUUUCAGCCAACUGGCUCAUGUUCAUUGCCUAGAGAAGCAGAGGAAGAGAAAUUUUUAGCAAAUAGCGACUGCAUUUGCCUCCAGACUUGUCAGACACAGUGAGCCGCUCAAGCAAACAGGAUCUGGCAGGAUCCUCCAAGCUGCUGGGCCCAGGCUGUGGCAUGAUGGCCGGAGGCAAGCAACACCUGGACUUCUAGCGAUCCCUCCUUCGUCGUCGCAUGCAGAAUUAUAGGACACCCUAAUUAUGAUUGCUAAUAGCUUCUGUAAAUAUUUUUCUUAACGAUUUGACCUUCCCAUCCUUGAAAAACAGUUAGGAUUGCAAAAUGAGGCCACCACUCUUCAUUUUCCUUACCCAAAUUUUUAUGCAGAAAGAGUACAGCAAAACUACUUUCAUUUUAAAAUUUUGUUUUAUGCUAUAUUUAGAGAAAGCAAAUAAUUUUAUUUUUAAAUAAAAUGUCAGAAACUCAAAAUGCCUCACAGUGGUCAUGAGUGUACGUGUGUUAAGGCACUUCAUUCAUGGUUCAGUGCAUAUUACAACACAUAGUGUAAAAAAACAGCGUGAAAUUCAUAAUUGUAUAUAAAAAACAUUUUCUCUUGAUUUCUGAAAAAGUCACUUGCCACCAAAAAAGUGCUAAGGCUUUUGUAAAAUGAAAGACUCAUUUGCUAAUAUGUGUGAAGACUAUAAUAAAAUGAAUUUGCAUUUAU